UUCACAAAUAAAGCAGAAUAUCGGUUGAGAAGAAUUUGUAAAAAGUUUGGAAUUUUUUAUUACAAGAAAGCACCAACGGCGCGUCAUGGUGGAGGAGAUCCGCUCGGUGUCAUCGCUGCGUCGUCUUUCCCGGCAAGUUGGACGUGGACUCAGUGCCGCUAGCUGAGGAGAUCUGAGGGAAGAGCAAAACAGAGAGAUUCAAACAGGAGAGAGAGCUCGCCUCGCCGUCGUCAUUGCCGUCGCCAUCGCAGUUCAUCGCCUCUCCAGAUUUGGUCGCAACGCCCAAGCCUCUGAGGAUGUUCCGACGAGAUGAAGAACAAGCUCGAUUACAUCCUCUCUCUCUCUCUCUCUCAGUGUUGAGAACUUCUUCGAGCGUCGCCUCCAUAUUCUCGUCUUCAAGUCCGGCAUGGCCAAGUUCAUCCAUCAGUGCAUAUUAGCUUAGUUCAAACGAUUGUAGAUGAAGGAUGAUUUCAAGAAGUGAUACAAAUUUUACUGUGAGCAGUUUUUUCACAGGCCACAGAGGAGGUUCAUUGAGCUGGAGGCUCUGGAGAAAAUCAUACAGGAAAGAAUAGGUUUGUUACUUGCUUUGGACAUCUAAAUUAAAGCAAUAUAGUUGUACUAAAUAUACUGAAUUAGACAUGCUUUGGACAUCUCACAUGUUUACUCAGAUUGAGAAUUGCUAGUGAAAAUGAAAUCAGUAAACCUUGUCCCCAACCUGAUUUAUUCAGAUUAGAGCAUUCAUUCAAAUCUUGUGUGCUGUAUUUUGAUUCUUUCUUCCAUAUUCAAUAACCUCUCUGAUUUGAACUUGGUAAUUGUGAAAAAGGGUGACAAUGAUUUAUUAGCCAUUUCUCCAUUGAUACUUGCUUUUCUAAAUUCACCUAAAAUGUGAGGCAAUCAGGAUUGUACAAGACUGCUAUCACCUUGCAAUUGGGAUGUUUAUUCAGAAGGUUCUUUGUCAAGUAUGUUUUCUGGAUUAAGUGUGCUAACCAUAAGAACAGCUUCAUUUGAGCUUUGGCACUAUCUAAUAUGUCAUAGUAGUUCAUGGUGUUGUGCACAUUGGAAGAGACUCCCUUUUGACAUCUUCUAGUCUUUGGCUCUUUGCAGUGCAGCUUCAACACCAUGCUCGGUAUCGCCUUCCGACAUUUCAGUUGAUCUUUGUACAUGUAAUUGAAUCACUGGUUUUUGUUCCUGUAAGCACUCAUUUUAACUGAUAAACAAUAUUUGUCUGAAUACUCAGUUGUGCAAUUUCAUUUUAGUCUUAGCCAUGCUGAUAGUUUUCUUUUGUUUUUCUUGGGUUAUUUCUUCAUAUUAUGAUUGUUAUUCUGUUCUUUCUCUUUGAGUUUUAUGACGACCAGCUGCUUGCCUUCAUGGUCUUGAUUCUUGUCUGGUUGUGCGAACUCUUUACUCUCAUUAGUGUCCGAACGCCAAUUUCAAUGAAGUUCUUCCCUUGCUUCUUUUUGUUGUAUUUUCUGGUCUUUCACAUAUAUUUCUUCUCUUAUUCAUAUGGUAAUGUUCGUAAUGUUUUAUUUUUCUCAGUGUAAUUUAAUUAAUAUUAUCUGAAAAUAAAUUUUUUUAAAUUCCAGAUUUUUCAUAUUUGGCUCUUAUCUACUAUAGCAGUUCUUAUGCAACAUCUUAUCUUGUACUUUUAGAAUCGUUUUGAGGUAAGAAAUGAUAAAGGUUGGAAAGAGCUACAAUCUGAAAAGAGGUCUUUCCUUACCGUGUGACUCAAUAUGCAACAAUAGGAAAGAAAGAAGAAGGGAUGAGAUUGUGGAAUAUUUAUAAGAUGGAUGGGAAGUUACUUAAAAGAGACUAUUAUUCAGCUGUAAUAAGUUCAUUUCUCAAGUUGUAUCCUAAAAACGCAUUCACUUGAAGCAAGAAAUUGUAGUUUUUGCGCACUUAA